CAAGGAAAUACUGAAAACAAAUUCAAGCCUGCCUUUUCCUCGAGGUAUCUUUUUUCCUAAGAAUACCACAAUUAGUUCAUCUCAUAAAAGGUGCAGUUCCAGGUGCUUAAGGCAAAGCAAGGUGCUUAAGUCCUGCUGCCAUUCCUGCCUUCCUUCAGGACACUGGUAGAACGUGGUUGUUUCUGUUCCACAGUGGUUUUCCCAGGCUGGACUCUGUUGGUUUGGAUUAUAAUGAUAAGUGAGAAGAUUCACAGCCCCUGGAUCCUCCAGUGUAUGCCAGUGUUGCAACAACACUCCCUAUUGUCCCUCCUGACUGUACCUUGCUUAUCAUUAUGGAAUAGUUUUGGUGCAUAUGGGCUGGAUGCCUUUGGAUAAAACUAAGAUCCUCCUAAUUAAAAGCCUCAUUGUGUAAGGGGAGGAUAAGGAAAACACAGA